GACGAACGCUGGCGGCGCGCUUAACACAUGCAAGUCGAACGGAAAGGCCUGCUUUCCCUUGUGGAUUGCGGGUACUCGAGUGGCGAACGGGUGAGUAACACGUGAGUGAUCUGCCCCCAACUUGGGUAUAAGCCUGGGAAACUGGGUCUAAUUCCCGAUAGGACUGCAGGGUGGUGCCUGUGGUGGAAAACGAUUUUCUAGUGGUUGGGGAUGAGCUCGCGGCCUAUCAGCUUGUUGGUGGGGUAAUGGCCUACCAAGGCGGCGACGGGUGGCCGGCCUGGGAGGGUGGACGGCCACAUUGGGACUGAGAUACGGCCCAGACUACUACGGGAGGCAGCAGUGGGGAAUAUUGCACAAUGGGCGGAAGCCUGAUGCAGCGACGCCGCGUGGGGGAUGACGGCCUUCGGGUUGUAAACUCCUUUCGACCGCGAGGAAGCCACCUGGUUGGAAGGGUGGUGACGGUAGUGGUAGAAGAAGCACCGGCUAACUACGUG
rnacentral:rRNA from 1 species